UACGAAGGGGGCUAGCGUUGUUCGGAAUUACCGGGCGUAAAGGGCGCGCAGGCGGCCCUCCAAGUCAGGCGUGAAAGCCCCGGGCUCAACCCGGGAACAGCGCUUGAGACUGGGGGGCUUGAGUUCGGGAGAGGAGAGUGGAAUUCCCAGUGUAGAGGUGAAAUUCGUAGAUAUUGGGAAGAACACCGGUGGCGAAGGCGGCUCUCUGGACCGACACUGACGCUGAGGCGCGAAAGCGUGGGGAGCAAACAGG
rnacentral:rRNA from 1 species